AACGAACGCUGGCGGCAGGCCUAACACAUGCAAGUCGAACGGUUCCUUCGGGGACAGUGGCAGACGGGUGAGUAACGCGUGGGAAUCUACCUUGUGGUACGGAACAACCAAGGGAAACUUUGGCUAAUACCGUAUGAGCCCUUCGGGGGAAAGAUUUAUCGCCAUAAGAUGAGCCCGCGUAGGAUUAGCUAGUUGGUGAGGUAAAGGCUCACCAAGGCGACGAUCCUUAGCUGGUCUGAGAGGAUGACCAGCCACACUGGGACUGAGACACGGCCCAGACUCCUACGGGAGGCAGCAGUGGGGAAUAUUGGACAAUGGGCGCAAGCCUGAUCCAGCCAUGCCGCGUGUGUGAUGACGGCCUUAGGGUUGUAAAGCACUUUCGCCGAUGAAGAUAAUGACUGUAGUCGGAGAAGAAGCCCCGGCUAACUUCGUGCCAGCAGCCGCGGUAAAAC
rnacentral:rRNA from 1 species